AGUGAACGCUGGCGGUAGGCCUAACACAUGCAAGUCGAACGGCAGCACAGUAAGAGCUUGCUCUUACGGGUGGCGAGUGGCGGACGGGUGAGGAAUACAUCGGAAUCUACUUUUUCGUGGGGGAUAACGUAGGGAAACUUACGCUAAUACCGCAUACGACCUACGGGUGAAAGCAGGGGAUCUUCGGACCUUGCGUGAUUGAAUGAGCCGAUGUCGGAUUAGCUAGUUGGCGGGGUAAAGGCCCACCAAGGCGACGAUCCGUAGCUGGUCUGAGAGGAUGAUCAGCCACACUGGAACUGAGACACGGUCCAGACUCCUACAGGAGGCAGCAGUGGGGAAUAUUGGACAAUGGGCGCAAGCCUGAUCCAGCCAUACCGCGUGGGUGAAGAAGGCCUUCGGGAUGUAAAGCCCUUUUGUUGGGAAAGAAAAGCAGCAGGUUAAUACCCCGCUGUUCUGACGGUACCCAAAGAAUAAGCACCGGCUAACUUCGUG
rnacentral:rRNA from 1 species